rnacentral:rRNA from 1 species
UACGGAGGGUGCAAGCGUUGUCCGGAAUUACUGGGCGUAAAGGGCGCGUAGGCGGUCUGUUAAGUUCGGUGUGAAAGCCCCCGGCUCACCUGGGGAACUGCGCCGGAAACCGACAGACUCGAGUACCGGAGAGGAGGGUGGAAUUCCUGGUGUAGCGGUGAAAUGCGUAGAUAUCAGGAGGAACACCGGUGGCGAAGGCGACAUCCUGGACCGGUAUUGACGCUGAGGCGCGAAAGCCAGGGGAGCAAACGGG